CAGCAGCCGCGGUAAAACGGAGGGGGCUAGCGUUGUUCGGAAUUACUGGGCGUAAAGCGCACGUAGGCGGCUUGGUAAGUUAGAGGUGAAAGCCUGGAGCUCAACUCCAGAAUUGCCUUUAAGACUGCCGAGCUAGCAGGUGAGAGAGGUAAGUGGAAUUCCGAGUGUAGAGGUGAAAUUCGUAGAUAUUCGGAAGAACACCAGUGGCGAAGGCGGCUUACUGGCUCAUACUGGACGCUGAGGUGCGAAAGCGUGGGGAGCAAACAGGAUUAGAUACCCUGUAGUCCCUGUCUCUUAUACA
rnacentral:rRNA from 1 species